UCACCAACAACAGUCAGCCAGCUUGGUGGU
rnacentral:piRNA from 1 species